rnacentral:lncRNA from 1 species
AUUUAUUGAGUUGUAAUGCUAUAAAUAGCUUCACCAAGACUUUUAACAAUUGGAAAAUGACUAUUUGCAAGGUUGAUUGUCUCUACAUUUUCCAUUGUAACCUAGUAUACAUAUUUGUAUUUUUUGUAAAACUGAAAUAGAAUUUCCUCAAAUGAUACUUUAGGUACAGUAUACAUUUAAAUUUUAUGUGCAUUCUUUUUUUCCUCUUUUAUUUUUUAAUGCUGAUUAUAACCUGAAUUUUGAGGUUGAAUGGACAGUGUAACAGUACAGAGGAUCAUGUAUUAUCUCCUGUAUUUCAAAACCUCUUUAGCUGGCCCUCAAAAUUCUUUAUCUUCUGAUCUCAAAUUACCUUUUCUCAGCUGUGGUUUUUUUGUUUGUUUUCUUUUUUUUAAAAUAUUUUUUUAGUUAUUUAUAUGUGGUACUGAGGAUCAAACCCAGGGCUUCACACAUGCUAGUUGAACACUCUACCACUGAGCCACAACUCCAGUUCUGUUUGUUUUCUUUUAAAGAGAUAAGGUCUUACUAUGUUGCCCAGGCUGACCUUUAAUUCCUGAACUCAAGUAAUCCUCUUGCCCAGACUCUUAAGAGUGUCUGGGACUGCAGGCAUGAGACCACUCCCUUCAGUUUUAUCUCCAAUUAUGCUGUUGUAAUAACCCAGAGUUCCAGUGAGACUAAUGAGUUAGGCCAAUAAGAAAGAACUGCUAAAAAUAUGACCUUUUUUAUUAUAUAUUGUUAUUUGAAAAGCAAUCUAAAAAGUUAUUCAUCACUGUUUUGAUUUCGUUAGAAAAAUGCAUUUUGAAAUCCUACUUCAGGAAAAUACAGUUGAUUCCUGGAUAUCAAGUGAACAGAUACUCUUUUUUUUUUAAUCUUUCCUUCAUAGUCUGAAGUUUUGCUCAGAUCCCAUCUCCUCAACAAAAACUUCUCAAACUCCAAAAAAUGUUAACUUUCCUUGGGUUUCCACAGUAUCCUCUUCUUAACACUCAGUUCUAAUUUAUUUUGUUAUUUUUCUAUCCCAUUAGACUG